GACUCAGAUGCGGUGUCCUAAUGGUUAGCGCGUUGGACGCCGGAUCGAGCGGUCCAGGUUCAAGCCCUGGCCUGGGUCA
rnacentral:tRNA from 1 species